UCUGAUUUUUCUCAACAUCUUUACAGAGUAGGAUAUUUGUCACAGAAACAAAAAUGGGCAAACUGGAAGAGGUCAUGGAAAAACUUCUUGAUGUAUUUCAGCAAGGUAACCCAAAAGACAAAAAAAUAAAGAAUGCAGACCUGAAGAGAAUCCUGAAUAAUGAUUUGGAAAAAUGGUCGAAGGACCACCCGGGCAAGAUAAAAAACUUCUUGGAAAAGCUGGACAAAAACCCAGGCAGUAGUUUGGAUUUUGCGCAGUUUGUUCACUAUGUGACUCAGCUGAUGAUAGCUUGUGAUAGCUACUUUAAAAAUUAGACUCCUGCACAUGUAGCUUAAACAUUAGCAUGUUGCUAACACAGAAAGUGGAAAUGGAGAAUAUCUUAACUUCACUCUGUUCAAUGAAAAAUACCCUCCACUCAACCCUUUUUACUGUAUUGUUGUAAUGUAACCAUAAAAGCACAAAAUAUGCAUCUCAUCACAUAAGUCUUUGCCCCCCCCCCAAAAAAAACAACCCAAAAACAAAACUAAAUGA